rnacentral:rRNA from 1 species
GACGAACGCUGGCGGCGUGCUUAACACAUGCAAGUCGAACGGAAAGGCCCUGCUUUUGUGGGGUGCUCGAGUGGCGAACGGGUGAGUAACACGUGAGUAACCUGCCCUUGACUUUGGGAUAACUUCAGGAAACUGGGGCUAAUACCGGAUAGGAGCUCCUGCUGCAUGGUGGGGGUUGGAAAGUUUCGGCGGUUGGGGAUGGACUCGCGGCUUAUCAGCUUCUUGGUGGGGUAGUGGCUUACCAAGGCUUUGACGGAUAGCCGGCCUGAGAGGGUGACCGGCGUCAAUGGGACUGAGAGACGCCGCAGACGCGAACGGGAAGCAGUAGUGGGGAGGAUGGCAAAAUGAGCCGAAGUCUGAUGCAGAGACGUCCAGAGCGGGAUGACGGGCUACGAGUGGAAAACAGAUGUCGCCUGAGACGAAGCGGGAGUGACGGUAAUGGGUAAAGAAGCACCGGCUAACUACGUG